UUUUUUUUUUUUGUGUAUUGUUUCUAUUUGUAUGUGAUGUCCCUAAAUUCUGACGUCAGGGUCUUUGAUGAUCCCAAUGAUGCCAGGAUCCACAUGGCAGCAUUGAUUAGUGAUGCUUAUCUCCAUGAUGCCAGGGUAAGGCUUGUCAUGAGAAGCAAAUACCUAAGUCUGAAAAUACUAAUUGCUAUUGCUGUUUAUAGUGAUGAAAAGGGUUAGUAAGACCCUUUUAUGCAACUACUGAAUAAUGCACAAUUAUAAGUGCUGCUGGUAUAAGUGCUCUGCAAAUAUAUAGGCUGCCAUGGCCAAGAAAAACCCUGCCUUUCCCCAAAGAAAAAUGAGAAAAAGCAGGAAGAGAUCCCUCACUAAUCCACUGGUCACAGGCAGGCGUGAGAAACGUCGGGAAACACACUGCUCUGCAUCAGCUGCUUCUCAAUCCAGAAGAAGGGAUCCAGUGCAUGAGGAAGGCCUUCAGAUAGAAGAUCAAGAGUUGGCAAGUCUUGAAACAAGACUCCAAGAGUUAAGGGACACUAUAACUGCAGACCAGGUUCCGGAGGGAACAGACAGAAUGGUUUCUGCUUGGGAACAAAGGCAGCUUCUCACAGAUGUGAGAAUGAAAACUGCUAGGCCUAUGCUUUUUGAUGCAAAGCUCUCAGCCGAGAGAGUAUCCGUCCAAAAUUGUCACAGAUGCUGUGCUGUAGAAGCUGUGAUUAGGUGCCUGGACUGUGUACCACUGGACAUGGAGUACCUCUGUGCUACCUGUGACAUGGAGGCCCACAAGAGAAAUAUCUUCCAUGACAGAGAGGCUGUGUUCCAUGGAUUUCUUGAGCCCAUUCCCCCUACAACUGCUGUGGUGCUGAAUGAAAAUGGCCAGCCUCAGUUUUGUGAACAAAUAUGUCAACUGCCUGUUCCUGCACCAAGGUCAAUUUGUGAAUGCACACAUGACUUCACAAUCACUCCAGGGAAGCAUAUUUCUGUGGUCACCAUCAAUUUUUGUGCCUUAUUGUACUAGAACUAGCAAAGCGUUGCCCAAAUGCCAUGUCAAAUAGCUAAUAUAUCAUAAAUUUGUAUCUCUGUAUAGAAGGCAAUCUGUUGCAGUUUGAUUACUGAAAUUAUUUUAGUCUUUACUACAGCAUAUUUACUUGUUCACAGGACGAUACGAUGUCUGCUUGCCUCGGAAAUCCUGUUCAUCAUGCUCUGCAGAGUGGACUCCCGAGUUGAAAGAACUGCUCAUUUAUCGGUACUGGCCAGCUAGCACCAGCUGCCAGACCCUGUACAAGUUUGAUGUCUUCACCUCGUUUGAACAUAUGAAGGUGACGGCACCAGCCAUGUCCAGGCAGGCCUUCCUGAAAAUGUUGGAGCACAGAUCUGUUCAAGCUGGAAGGACAGGUAGUAUCUGUGCUGAUACAUUUCAGCGAAGCUUUUUUGAGUUUACCUUCUGUCAAUACAAAGAAGAGGAUAUGUGCCAGGUCCAUCAUUUUGAGUGUCCAGCAUGUUAUCCAGACAUGUUGGCUGUCUGCUCUGAUGGGAACCGAAAACAUUACCGCUUCAGCAAGUCAAAAGGGACUGAGGAGCCACCCAUAUACGAGGGCUUGUUCUUGGCCAAGGACGAGGAAGUUGCUACCUUUGUUGACCUCGUCAGAGGCAACAUGAGAAGUGCAAAUGAAAGUGCUGUGUGCGGUACUGCCAAGUUCACCGCUGGCAGAGAGAUGUCAAAAAAGUCUGGUGCUCAGAUAGACGAGGAGGGCAUUCAAGUUGCAGUUUGCAGACAUGGGUUUCUCUUACGAGGACUGAACCAUUACCGUGGAGAAAUAUUUGCUUACCCAAUGUUUCUUCAAAGAGAGAUGUCAAAGAAGGCAAAUGUUACCUUCUUCUGUCUGGAUGUUACAUGCAGGCACUGGCCCUACCUUAACAAAGUAGCAGAGGGUUUACCAGAGCUUCUGCCAUUGACAGAAAUGAGGUCAUGCCAAAGCCCAUACAGCAAAAUGCGAGGUGAGAUGGGGUGGCAGAAGCCAGGAUGGAGCAGGAAACACGGUGGGAGAAGAAGUAGAGCAGGUGAACAGCUUUCUCUCCAGGGCAGCACUUGUCACAAAAUACAUGACAAAGGCUGAGUGAACAUGCUAACGCGACAGGCCAUGGGUUGGAACAGAAGAAAGAGGGACAACCUUCAUCAAGUGUUAGCCCACAGAUAUGUCAAAAUCACAGAGAGGGCAAAACUGGAAGCUGCCAGCCUUAGCAAAAUCAAGAAGGAGCACAACCUUGAUCAGGAGACAAUACAGCAGUGGGUG